rnacentral:rRNA from 1 species
AAGCUCGUAGUUGAAUUUCGGGCCUGGCUGGGUGGUCUUGCCGCAAGGUAAGCACUGCUCUGGUCGGGUCUUUCCUUCUGGGGAACCAGCGUGCUCUUAACUGAGUGCGUUGGGGAUCCAGGACUUUUACUUUGAAAAAAUUAGAGUGUUUAAAGCAGGCUUACGCUUGAAUACAUUAGCAUGGAAUAAUAGAAUAGGACUUUGGUUCUAUUUUGUUGGUUUCUAGGACCGAAGUAAUGAUUAAUAGGGAUAGUUGGG